CUUUAUUGAAGAUAUGCCAAAUUAAAGGAAAAGAUGUCCACUUCAUGGUCAGGGCAUCUAUUCCCUUUGCCAGAGUGAGGGUGGCAUCUUCUGCAGAAGGCAUAUGGAAUUGGUUGAUUCUUCACUGUGGCUAUUGUAGCAAAGGGGGAACACAGAAGGCGCAGACAUGAACGGAACAAUUUUCUAAAUGCCACAGGCAGCAUACCAAUUUCAGCAGGAUCAAGGCUUAAAAAAGUCUUAUCAUAUACUGACCCAUAGGUAAAGAUAUAUCUUCAACCUGAUUCUUUUCCCAGGAUGCUUCCCUUACAAGGUGUUUCAAACUGGGGACUUCCUGGUGGAGAUUUCAAACUCCCCAGGGAAACACUUACAUUUGUAGCUAAGCUCAACUACUUUAAGUUAAAAAUAAAUAAAUAAUAU